rnacentral:rRNA from 1 species
AAUCAACGCUGGCGGCGUGCCUCAGACAUGCAAGUCGAACGAUUAAGACUUCCUUCGGGAAGUGCAUAAAGUGGCGCACGGGUGAGUAACACGUAAGUAAUCUACCCUCGAGUGGGGAAUAACGUUCGGAAACGAACGCUAAUACCGCAUAACGCAGCGGCACCGCAAGGUGACAGUUGUUAAAGGAGCAAUCCGCUUGAGGAGGAGCUUGCGGCAGAUUAGCUAGUUGGUAAGGUAAUGGCUUACCAAGGCUACGAUCUGUAUCCGGUCUAAGAGGACGGUCGGACACACUGACACUGAAUAACGGGUCAGACUCCUACGGGAGGCAGCAGUCGGGAAUUUUGGGCAAUGGGCGAAAGCCUGACCCAGCAACGCCGCGCGAAGGAUGAAGUAUUUCGGUAUGUAAACUUCGAAAGAAUGGGAAGAAUAAAUGACGGUACCAUUUAUAAGCUCCGGCUAACUACGUGCCAGCAGCCGCCGUAACAC